GAGAGGGGAAAGAGGGUCUGAUUUUUUAACGAAGGGAAAGAAAAUAUGCCAUUUCUAGCGCUUCAGCCACACAAAGAAAGCGGCGGAAUGAUCCGCUCUCGGCGACCGCAAGUCCCGGCUCGCCCGGCGCCUGCGCGGCAGCGGGGGUGGGAGCUGCGGACGGCCAUGUGCGCGGCGGAGAGGCCGGGUGGCCACCGAACCUUCCCGCCUGUUCUGCGGUGGGUAGGAGUUUGGAAACUAAUGUUCCUGUGCUAACCUUCGUGUCUCUGUGACAUGACUGUUGAAAGACGGAGAGUGCGGAAUCUUUGGAGUUUUAAGCUUGCCAACUGUGCGGCCUAGCAGAAUCCUGGGAGACGGAAGGACAGCCAAGAGGCUAGGAUUUACCUUUAAGUGUCCCUAGAUUCAACUAGGCAGACUGGGACGGGAGACGCUGUGAAGGGGCGUCUGGGCAUGGCUUUCCCAACCUAGUAACUGCAACUUUUAGCAUCCUACAUGUAGGACUUGGGAAUAUGUGAGACAGCGCCAAGAAUUUAAUCCAGGAGAAUUGACAAGCUUAAAUGAAAUCCAUAUUGCCCACUGAUUUUGUGCAGCUUCAGAUAAGUAAUCUUUCUCCACUUAGCCUUUUGUAACAAUUGAUGUAAUAAAGGUUUGUAGUCUUUGUGUAAUUUAUUAAAGCAUUGUGCCUAAAAUAGAAAAAAAGCAUAGGAAC
rnacentral:lncRNA from 1 species